GGCAUUUCACUGUAAGGUGUAAGGCAUUUCACUGUAAGGCAUUUCACUGUAAGGCAUUGCACUGUAAGGCAUUUCACUGUAAGGCAUUGCACUGUAAGGCAUUUCACUGUAAGGCAUUGCACUGUAAGGCAUUUCAUUGUAAGGUGUAAGGCAUUUCACUGUAAGGUGUAAGGCAUUUCACCGUAAGGCAUUUCACUGUAAGGUGUAAGGCAUUUCACUGUAAGGUGUAAGGCAUUUCACUAUAAGGCAUUUCACUGUAAGUCAUUUCACUGUAAGGUGUAAGGCAUUUCACUGUAAGGCAUUUCACUAUAAGGCAUUUCACUAUAAGGCAUUUCACUGUAAGUCAUUUCACUGUAAGGUGUAAGGCAUUUCACUAUAAGGCAUUUCACUAUAAGGCAUUUCACUGUAAGGCAUUUCACUAUAAGGCAUUUCACUGUAAGGUGUAAGGCAUUUCACUGUAAGGCAUUUCACUGUACCUGUUGUAUUCGGUGCAUGUGACAAAUACAAUUUGAUUUGAUUUAAUAAUAUUAGGUACAUUUCAUAUUCACAAAUGUAAAUGGUCUUAUUCAACUAAUUCAAAACCUAACUUUUUUCACUUUUUAAAUGAAUUUAAACAAUAUGGCACUACUUUAACUAAAAGGAAAAACAAAAAGGCAACUAAAACUUGUUUCAUGAUUAAGAUUAGUUUGUUUAGGAUUCCUGGCAAUGUAAAUAGUUUGUAUGUAAUCUGGUUUGCGUGUGACUAUUCCUAUUUUGUUUGUUGAUAUUUGUUUGUUAAUAAAAAAUAAUAUUAAAAAAC
ensembl:lncRNA